rnacentral:lncRNA from 1 species
GUGUGUGGUAUGCAUGUAUGUGCAUGUUCUUGAUGAAUGUAUUCUGUGACUGUGCACGGACAGUUCAGAACUAUAUUCAGAAGCUGUGUGUAUAGUGCGUGGGGAUCUGGCCCCAUCUGGUCCCUCUCUUGAGCCCUACUCCCUCAGGACAUCCUGGGCCCAGAAAAUCAUCCAGAAAACCUGGAACAGCCAUUCCUGAGUGUAUUCAAAAAAGGGUGGCGGAGGACACCUGUGAGGAACCUAGGCAAGGUGGUGCACUAUUCCAAGGUUCAGCUGCGGUUCCAGCACAGCCAGGACAUCAGUGACUGCUAUCUGGAACUGUUCCCCUCCCACCUGUACUUCCAGGCCCAUGGUUCUGAAGGACUUACAUUCCAGGUGAGUGGUAUAGACAG